rnacentral:rRNA from 1 species
UUAAAUUGAAGAGUUUGAUCAUGGCUCAGAUUGAACGCUGGCGGCAGGCCUAACACAUGCAAGUCGAACGGUAACAGGAAGCAGCUUGCUCUUCGCUGACGAGUGGCGGACGGGUGAGUAAUGUCUGGGAAGCUGCCUGAUGGAGGGGGAUAACUACUGGAAACGGUAGCUAAUACCGCAUAAUGUCGCAAGACCAAAGAGGGGGACCUUCGGGCCUCUUGCCAUCGGAUGUGCCCAGAUGGGAUUAGCUUGUUGGUGGGGUAACGGCUCACCUAGGCGACGAUCCCUAGCUGGUCUGAGAGGAUGACCAGCCACACUGGAACUGAGACACGGUCCAGACUCCUACGGGAGGCAGCAGUGGGGAAUAUUGCACAAUGGGCGCAAGCCUGAUGCAGCCAUGCCGCGUGUAUGAAGAAGGCCUUCGGGUUGUAAAGUACUUUCAGCGGGGAGGAAGGGAGUAAAGUUAAUACCUUUGCUCAUUGACGUUACCCGCAGAAGAAGCACCGGCUAACUCCGUGCCAGCAGCCGCGGUAAUACGGAGGGUGCAAGCGUUAAUCGGAAUUACUGGGCGUAAAGCGCACGCAGGCGGUUUGUUAAGUCAGAUGUGAAAUCCCCGGGCUCAACCUGGGAACUGCAUCUGAUACUGGCAAGCUUGAGUCUCGUAGAGGGGGGUAGAA